rnacentral:misc_RNA from 1 species
GAUGAAGAACGCAGCGAAAUGCGAUACUUGGUGUGAAUUGCAGAAUCCCGUGAACCAUCGAGUCUUUGAACGCAAGUUGCGCCCGAAGCCAUUAGGCCGAGGGCACGCCUGCCUGGGCGUCACACGUCGUUGCCCCCCCAUCUACUCCUUCGGGAUUGCGGGGGGCGGAUGAUGGCCUCUCGUGCGCCUCGUCGCGCGGUUGGCCUAAAUGCCAAGUCCUCGGCGACGCACGCCACGACAAUCGGUGGUUGCGAAACAUCGGUUGCCUGUCGUGUGCGGUCGUCGCGCAUCGAGGGCUCGAAAAAAUUGCCGGGCUUCGGCUCGACUUUCAACGCGACCCCAGGUCAGGCGGGGUUACCCGCUGAAUUUAAGCAUAUCAAUAAGCGGAGGA